rnacentral:rRNA from 1 species
CCUACGGGAGGCAGCAGUGGGGAAUAUUGCGCAAUGGGCGAAAGCCUGACGCAGCGACGCCGCGUGAGGGAUGAAGGUCUUCGGAUCGUAAACCUCUGUCAGCAGGGAAGAACGGUCACUGUGCUAAUCAGCAGUGAAUUGACGGUACCUGCAAAGGAAGCACCGGCUAACUCCGUGCCAGCAGCCGCGGUAAUACGGAGGGUGCGGGCGUUAAUCGGAAUUACUGGGCGUAAAGCGCUCGUAGGCGGUAUGUCAAGUCAAGGGUGAAGUCCCCGCGCUCAACGUGGGAACUGCCUUUGAAACGGGCAAACUGGAGUGUGUGAGAGGAUAGUGGAAUUCCAGGUGUAGGAGUGAAAUCCGUAGAUAUCUGGAGGAACAUCAGUGGCGAAGGCGACUAUCUGGCACAUAACUGACGCUGAGGAGCGAAAGCGUGGGUAGCAAACAGGAUUAGAUACCCGUGUAGUC